GUCUACGGCCACGCCACCCUGAACAAGCCCGAUGUCUGAUCUCGGAAGCUAAGCAGGGUUGGGCCUGGUUGGUACUUGGAUGGGAGACCACCUAGAAAGACCAGGUGCUGUAGCAU
rnacentral:rRNA from 1 species